rnacentral:misc_RNA from 1 species
GAUGAAGAACGUAGCGAAAUGCGAUAAGUAAUGUGAAUUGCAGAAUUCAGUGAAUCAUCGAAUCUUUGAACGCCCAUUGCGCCCGCCAGCAUUCUGGCGGGCAUGCCUGUUCGAGCGUCAUUUCAACCCUCGAGCCCCCCCGGGGGCCUCGGUGUUGGGGGACGGCACACCAGCCGCCCCCGAAAUGCAGUGGCGACCCCGCCGCAGCCUCCCCUGCGUAGUAGCACACACCUCGCACCGGAGCGCGGAGGCGGUCACGCCGUAAAACGCCCAACUUUCUUAGAGUUGACCUCGGAUCAGGUAGGAAUACCCGCUGAACUUAAGCAUAUCAAUAAGCGGAGGA